rnacentral:lncRNA from 1 species
AGUAUGCUUCAAUCUACAUUUAACCUCUAUAGUUUUUUUUAUAUUGAUAGCUUUUUAUAUUUUAAAAUACAUGCAAAGAAUAAUUUUGAUUAUAUUAAGUUAAAAAGUUUUUGUACAAACAAAACCAAUGCAGAUAAGACUGAAAGGGAAGCAAUAAAGUGGGAAAAAAGUUUUACAUCCAAGGGUUCUGAUAAAGGCCUCAUUUCUAAAAUACAUAAAGAAUGUACUCAAAUUUAUAAGAAUUCAAGCCACUCCCCAAUUGAUAAAUGAUCAAAAUAUAUGAAUAGACAAUUUCCAGAUGAAGAAAUUAAAACCAUUUCUACUCAUAUGAAAAAAUGCUCUAAAUAAUUAUUGAUCAGAAAAAUGCAAAUUAAAAUGACUCCAAGGUACCACUACACAUCUCUCAGAUUGGCUAAGAUGACAGGAAAAGAUGAUGCAUAUUGGAGGGGAUAUGGGAAAACAGACACUAAUACAUUGUUGGUGGAGUUGUGAACUGAUGCAACCAUUCUGGAGAGCAAUUUGGAACUAUGCCGAAAGGAUUAUUAAACUUUGCAUACCCUUCAAGAUCUAGCAGUGUCUCUACUGGCCCUGUAUCUCAAAGAGAUCAUAAAAAAGGGAAAAGGACCCACAUGUGCAAAAAUCUUUGUGGCAGCCCUUUUUGUAGUGAUAAGAAACUGGAAACUGAAGGGAUGCCCAUCAUGGAGAAUGACUGAGUAAGUUAUGGUAUCUGAAUCUUAUGGAAUAUUAUUGUUCUAUAAAAAACAAUUGACAGGAUGAUUUCAGAAAGUCCUGGGGAGACUCGCAUGAACAGAUGCUGAGUGAAGUGAGUAGAACCAGGAGAUCAUUGUACACAGCAAAAGCAAAAUUAUGUGAUGAUUAAUUCUGAUGGACAUGACUCUUUUGAACAAUGAGGUGAUUCAGGCAGUUUCAAUGGUCUUGUAAUGAAGAGAGCCACCUACAUCCAGAGAGAAGAGUGUGGGGACUGAGUGUGAAUCACAACAUAGUAUUUUCACUUUUUUGUUGUUGUUUGCACUUUGUUUUCUUACUCAUUUUUUUCUUUUUUAGUCUGAUUUUUCUUGUGUAGCAUAUUUGUGGAAAUAUGUAUAGAAGAAUUGUACUGUUUAACAUAUAUUGCAUCACUUGCUGUCCAGGGAGGGGGUAGGGGUAACUAUUUGGAACACGAGAUUUUGUAAGGGCAAAUAUUGAAAAUCAUCUCUGCAUAUGUUUUGAAAGUAAAAAGCUUUAAUAAAAAGGAAUGAACAAAUCUAGAAUUAUGCAAAAAAGAAAAAAAUACAUGCAAAGACAGGUUUCAACAUUCAUCCUUAUAUUAUCAUGGCACAAAUUUUUCUCCCUCCCUCUCCUUCCCCUCCCCUACACAGCAAUAAUCCAGCAUAGAUUAAACAUGUGCAAUUCUUCUAAACAUAUUUCUACAAAUAUGCUGCUGUGCAAGAAAAAAAUCAGAUCAAAAGAGGGAAAAAAGGAGAAAGAAAAAAACCUCAAGCAAACAACAACAAAGAUGGAAACAUUAUUCUGUGAUUCAUAUUUACUCUCCAUAGUCUUUUCUUUGGAUGUAGAUGGCUCUUUCCAUUACAUGUUUAUUGGAAUUAUCAUGAAUCACUUCAUUGUUGAAAACAGCCAAAUCCUUCACCAAUGAUCUCCAUACAAUUUUCUUGUUGCUGUUUAUGAUGUUCUCUUGGUUCUAUUCAUUUCACUUAUAAUCAGUUCAUAUAAGUCUUUCCAGGCUGUUCUGAAAUCAAUCUGCUCAUCAUUCUUACAGAACAAUAAUA